GUGAAAGUGAAAGUUAAUGGCAGGAAGCGUCCCUGAGAAGCAGCAAUAAACAUCCUCCUCCCUGCUGUCAUCCUGGGGAGUCAGGAUGACAAACUCCCGGGCUGCAGCGGUGCAGGGGGGCCCCGGACCCCCCUUCUCGUCCGGACCCUUCCCAGCUGUGAGCCUCUGCCCGCCUGGGUCCUCCGGGGCCCCGCUGGUCGGAGUGAUCUAUUGCCGGUGUCCGUCCGGCCAGAAGCGGCUCCGUCCCGCUGCAGCGCGGCGCUCCGGAGGCCCGUGUUUAGCCCGGUCCAGGAAACAGGCCCUUCCUCCGCCUAAACACGGAGGGCCGCCUGGGGACCAGCAGCGGCGUGCUGCGGGGAGCGAGGCCCGGCAGGUCAACGAGGACGCGCACGACAUGACAUGAACGGGCACCACCUUAAUCCAAACCUGUGCGUAAAAGCGAACCAAGCGCACUGACGGAGUUUGAACCAAUUAGGUUAAAGCUUCAGCUGGUGGUUGAGAAGUUGCAGAGGCUGUCGGAGUUCAUCCAUCAGGAUGACAGAGGUCGUGUGAGUGGGAACUUUCUCUGCAUCUUCUGUUAAAGUGAGUUCCUACAGCACAGAGGAGCAGCUCUGGAGGAAAACACGGCUGUUUGUUUGCCAGAAGUCUCCUCCACCUGCCGAGUGUCCAGAGAGGAAAAACCCUCAGGAGGAGCGGAGGGAGAGGGGUGACAGAGGCCGAGGGGUCCUGCUGCAAAACGGAAAGGGGAGCUGAUAGGAGCAGAUUAGACCGGGCUAAAAACGUCAGUCAGUUUUCUUGGAGGAAUUUUAAUUGCCCCGGGGGGCCCUGCUUAUCGACCCGCAGCGGUUAUUAAUACAACACCCGCGAUAAAGAGGACGGAGGGACACCGAGCAGCUGCUGGAGGACGAGGAGGCUGUAAAAUCCAACAUAGAUCCAGUCUGUAAAGAGUUUAUAGCUGCUCAGUGUUCAGCAGUACACAGAGGACUGAGCCUCAGGAGUGAGUGACAGAUUUAAAACUCAAACAGACAUUUUUAUGGUUCCGUUAUUUUAUGAAAUGGGAAAGCUUUCUGGAGUCGAUUCCCCGAUGUACAGUCUGACAAAUUUGAAUGCUUGCCAUCUCCUCUGAAAAAAAAUUAGAGGAAGGAAUAGAGGUUUGAAAAAGCUUGGUGAGAUAUCCUUGUAAGGAGCCAC
ensembl:lncRNA